GGCGUGGCUAAGACAUGCAAGUCGUACGGGGUAGCAAUACCCAGUGGCGCACGGGUGAGUAAUGUAUAGCUAACCUACCCCUUACUCUGGGAUAGCUCAUCGAAAGGUGAGGUAAUACCAGAUGACAUUCCGCUGUCGCAUGGCAGUGGACUCAAAGGGCAACUGGUUUGGGAUGGGGCUAUAUUGUAUCAGCUAGUUGGUGGGGUAAUGGCCUACCA
rnacentral:rRNA from 1 species